rnacentral:rRNA from 2 species
GGCGAUCAGAUACCGCCCUAGUUCUAACCGUAAACGAUGCAAACCAGAAAUUCGCGGGAGUUAAUACAUGACUUCGCGAGCGUCUUCCGGGAAACCAAAGAUAUGUUCCGGGGGUAGUAUGGUUGCAAAGCUGAAACUUAAAGGAAUUGACGGAAGGGCACCACCAGGAGUGGAGCCUGCGGCUUAAUUUGACUCAACGCGGGGAAACUUACCCGGCCCGGACACCGUAAGGAUUGACAGAUUGAGAGCUCUUUCUUGAUUCGGUGGGUGGUGGUGCAUGGCCGUUCUUAGUUGGUGGAGCGAUUUGUCUGGUUAAUUCCGAUAACGAACGAGACUCUAGCCUAUUAAAUAGUCGGUAAAUCCUUUGUUUACUGUACUUCUUAGAGGGACAGAAGGCGUCUAGCCUUACGAGAUUGAGCAAUAACAGGUCUGUGAUGCCCUUAGAUGUUCGGGGCUGCACGCGCGCUACACUGAAGGAUUCAACGUGAUUUUUCACCUGUUCUGGAAAGAAUGGGUAACCCGUUGAAACUCCUUCGUGAUUGGGAUAGGGGCUUGUAAUUAUUCCCCUUGAACGAGGAAUUCCUAGUAAGUGCGGGUCAUCAUCUCGCGUUGAUUACGUCCCUGCCCUUUGUA